rnacentral:tRNA from 1 species
CCUGGUGGCUUAGAUGGUGAAGAAUCUGCCUGCAAUGCAGGAGACCUGGGUUCAAUCCCUGGGUCAGGA